UGAGCCAAGUUUAGGGUUUUCUCAAAACCCAAGCAGUAUUGAACUGAAGAGUUUGAUCAUGGCUCAGAUUGAACGCUGGCGGCAGGCCUAACACAUGCAAGUCGAGCGGAUGAAGGGAGCUUGCUCCUGGAUUCAGCGGCGGACGGGUGAGUAAUGCCUAGGAAUCUGCCUGGUAGUGGGGGAUAACGUCCGGAAACGGGCGC
rnacentral:rRNA from 1 species